UUCUUCCUCCAGAACCAAACCCAUGCUCUGCCGUUCGUCUCUCUUCUCUAUGCUCUACCUUCUCCUUCCCCAAAACCCAACACUGAAAAUCAAUCCUGCCAAGAAGCCAUCCCCACACUCUUAGGUCCAAGAUAGAAAGAAGGCAUCACCGAACAAACUACUAUCCCAGCCGUGGCAGAGGGUAUAGCUCCUGUGGUUCUUAAUUUUGCAUCAUAAUUGCCUCAAACUCAGACCCUAUCCUCUCUCUCUAAUCUCAGCCAAAUCCAUCACCACUCUCAAUUUGCUUCUGUCGUUGAUGUUGCAUAAGGUGCUUAAUAGGAUUUUGUAGAAUUUUUGGUGUUUUGGCUGCUUUUAGUUCAAGUGAAUUCCAUGAGGUGAAUUUCAUGUAAGAUGUAAUUGAUAUUUUCAAUAGAAAUUGGAUGUGCAGUUGACCUCAAGCACUCGCAUAAGUUUUUCUUCUUUUUUUGUGAAAAUUCAUAGUUGCAAAUAUUUGAAUAAUAAAUGUUAUUAGCUUUGAUUUGCCUAGAA